rnacentral:rRNA from 1 species
CCUACGUGAGGCAGCAGUGAGGAAUAUUGGUCAAUGGGCGGAAGCCUGAACCAGCCAAGUCGCGUGAGGGAAUAAGGCCCUACGGGUCGUAAACCUCUUUUGCCGGGGAGCAACGGGCGUCACGUGUGGCGCCACUGAGAGUACCCGGAGAAAAAGCAUCGGCUAACUCCGUGCCAGCAGCCGCGGUAAUACGGAGGAUGCGAGCGUUAUCCGGAUUUAUUGGGUUUAAAGGGUGCGUAGGCGGAUCGUUAAGUCAGUGGUCAAAUUGAGGGGCUCAACCCCUUCCCGCCAUUGAAACUGGCGCUCUUGAGUGGAAGAGAAGUAUGCGGAAUGCGUGGUGUAGCGGUGAAAUGCAUAGAUAUCACGCAGAACCCCGAUUGCGAAGGCAGCAUGCCGGCUUCCGACUGACGCUGAAGCACGAAAGCGUGGGGAUCGAACAGGAUUAGAUACCCGAGUAGU